UACGUAGGGUGCAAGCGUUAAUCGGAAUUACUGGGCGUAAAGCGUGCGCAGGCGGUGAUGUAAGACAGAUGUGAAAUCCCCGGGCUUAACCUGGGAACUGCAUUUGUGACUGGCGGGCUAGAGUAUGGCAGAGGGGGGGUAGAAUUCCACGUGUAGCAGUGAAAUGCGUAGAGAUGUGGAGGAAUACCGAUGGCGAAGGCAGCCCCCUGGGCCAAUACUGACGCUCAUGCACGAAAGCGUGGGGAGCAAACAGG
rnacentral:rRNA from 1 species